UAAAUCCUGCGAAAUAAGCCCUAGCCUCGUCCCAGCCUCUCGAACGAUCUCCUCAUAGCGCUACCUCUCUCAAGCGAUCUCCUCCGAGCGCGAGCGAUACGUCAUCUCCGAGCGCUAGCGAUCCGUCGAAUCCGAGCCAGAUCUCCGUCGACGAUGGCGACGCUGACGCCGAAGCCGACGCUUCGCCUCACUUGUCUCGUCCCUCCCUCGUCUCGUUCAUCUCCAGCUUCACUCGUCAGAAGAUACGAUUCCACUUCUCUCCAUCAUUUGCCAACGGAUAAUUUUGGGUGCAAGAAAAAUGAGAUCAGGUUUUGGAACAUUGCAAGAGGUGCUUAAUCAUUUCCUUGAAACGACCACUACAUUUCUUGAAUGCUACUUGUAAAAGAGGCGUCAUGGAGCAAGCCAACUCAGUAGGCAAGGAGAAAGAGAUGAAAAUCCAAUCAAUAGAGAAGCUUAUCAUGCUGGUCUUCAGGAUUUUCAAUCUGUGUUGACGACAUUUACUCGCUAUAGCCGGUUGCGUGUGAUUGCAGAGGUUAGACAUGGAGAUCUGUUUCACUCUGCAAAUAUAGUUUCUAGAUUAUCUGAAGUUCAAAGCUUAUGCUGCAUCUAUUGCUGAAGAAAUGAGGACUGAACUACAACUAAAAGAUUUACCUCUUGAAAAUGCGUCCCAGGAAGAUCUUAAUUUAAUUAAUAUCUCAAUCGACGAGGAAGAAAAUCAAGAAGAUGGCAAAGAUUGGACCUCAAAGCUGGGUGUGAAUCUAAGAUACUAUGUCAAGUUUAGAAAACAUUCAGCAUCAAAGAUUGGACCUCAAGAACAUCAAGAAGAUUGACAAAGAUUUUUUUUUUUUUGUAUUCAAUGUUGUAUAUUUUAAGUCUUUGUGAACAAGUUGUAUUCAUUUAACUCUAUAUAUGUUGAAGUAUCAAUUUUGACAUUGUUUAUGUAUUAUUAAAUCAUAAAAAAUGAUUUUUU